AACAGCAUAAAAUAAAAAGAAUAUUUGUUGGAAUCGGUGUAAUUGUUUUAAGAAAUGCCACCGAAAAAGGUGCCACAAUUUGAGGAUCCACAACAAUGGAAACUAAACUUCGGAAAUCAGACUACGGGUGGAAAUAACACUAAUAACAGUGGGCGUCUUUUUGUUUCGUCGGCCGAAACUACAAACGAUUUCAAAGCGCCGACUUACACGGAAAGGAUCCAAAAGGUUGAUCGGCUGCAUUGCACUGAGGCGGCAAACCAAUACAUGAUUGUAAAGGCAAGAUUAUUUCAUGGUUGAAAAUCAUCCGGUUCGGUGUUUGACCAGUGCUGGAAUUAACAGACGAAGG